GCAGACACAUUCCAGCCAAUCAGCAGCAGACCCUCCCUCCCAGAUCCUCCCACCUCCUGGACAGCAUCCAUUGUGAAGCUGCAUUCUUAGUGAGCUGUCCAGGAGGUGGGAGGGUCUGGGAGGGAGGGUCUGCUGCUGAUUGGCUGGAAUAUGUCUG